GCUCUGACGGGAAGCCAGGAGGCUGGGCAAUGAGCUGUUUGUACAGAUGGCCAUCCCUGCUCUUCUCCCGCCAGCUUAGGUCAUCUACCACUGACACCUCCGAGAUGCAGUGUUCCUUCAGUGAUCAGGCCUAUGCUCCAGUAACCUUGCAGUGGGUGGGCCGUUCAUCUGCUUGUAUCUGGCAGAAGUGCAUGUGAGGACUCAGGGAAGAAACCUCUCUGGCACGUCUGAAGUUAGCCAGGAGGAUCCAGCACCACAAGGGGGAAAGGAUGACUGAGAAGUACCAGCAGGUCGAUCAGACUGGGUGUAUCACUGUCUUCUUCAGAAGCCUCAGAGAGCCCUCACCCCCUACUGGGUCUCUGAACUCAGAGGUCUGAACCUUAAAUCAAACCUUCCACAUUGUCAGACAGUGAGCUUCCUCUCCAGUAUCAGCUUUGCUGCUGCCUUCACAAGCAACCCUGACCCAAGUACAGCCAAAGUUGGGACAACUUAACACCUCAUUCCUUCCUGGCACCUCUGCUAGUUUUUGCAAGAUUUAGAAAUAUUUAUUAGAAUCAAGGACUCCAGCCAGAGUGAAGGGGGCUUCCAAGAGAGGAAAACCCAAAGAAGACUGGUGGCAGUCGGCUUCAAGUACAAUUUCGAAGGAAAAAAACCCUGACAAUCAGAUUCUCCUCUACUCCUCCAACGUUCUGCACCACUGGGGUGGUGCUCAGCCACGAAUGCCUAUCUCAGCCAUGAUCAGUAUUGGUAUCACUGUCAGGUGCCAUCUUGGCCUUUAAUGUUAAGUUGUACACAAGCAGAAGCUUGCUUAUGCGUGUCAAAAUAGCCAACAAGGUAUAGCACGGUGCUUAGAAGAGGGCAAAUACUUAGUCCAUGUUUGUUUAACAAGUGACUUUGGGGUAAAAUUAUUAGGAUGAGGCCUAGGGAGUCAACACAUUGGCUUUGAAGAUGGUUUCAACUGCAUUAAAGGCUAUUUCUUUCCAUUUUUGGAUCUUUAAGUGGUAUAAAUCUAUACUAGCGUUCAAUAAAAAUAUAUUUAAGAAGGCUUCUCCUCAACCCACCCCAUAAGACAAAAAAAAAUACUAUUGCAAGGACUUUUUAAAUAGUUUCCUAAAAUGAUAGUGCAAACAUGUAUAUGAAUUCCCACCAAAUAAUACAGAGGAUUUAUGUA